UUCUUCUUUCAAACGUAUGUUUGUCAAAAAUCGAGUGGAAGGGGUUGCUCUUUCAGUGAUAAUCGAAGACUAGCGUUAGCGAUAUGGCUCAGGUUCAGACUCAGAGGCAGGUGAAAGUGGAUAUUGAAUACUGUGGUGGGUGAGGUUACGAACCCCGGUACCGGGAACUCCGUCAUGCCAUCAGUCGGCAGUUUCCGUCCGGGAAUGUUAUUGUGCAGGGACGAGUUGGCCGUUCAACCUCGUUUGAGGUGACUGUGAACGACAAACUCGUCUUCUCCAAGCUCCAGCUGCAUGGUUUCCCUCACGAAGAAGAUAUCUUUGAAACCAUCAGGCAAGCCGAGGUUGGAGGAGAAUGCAAGACAAUUCUAACAGCAAAAUCUCCUGGCUGCAUUAUUGUUUAAUAGAAACUGUUGCUGCAUCAGUGUGAAAUCCAUAGUUGUCUUGCUUAUAAGGACUUUGAUUUUUUAGUUAUUAUUCAAAUGGAUGUCGAAAGACAUUCAACAAUGAAGCAUAUGUACUCAGGUUUCUACUGUCAAAAGUCGGGGUCAGGUUAUCUGUCUGCCAUUUUUUUUUUUUUAAUAAUAGAUGAAUUAGGUGAGAAAAAAAUAUAUAUAUAAAUAUAAAAAAACCUAUUAAUGCACAUCAUAUGGUCAAACUGUAAAUGAUAUUUGGAAGAUAUAUCUUUUUCUUGCAGAAAUAACAAGUAUAUUGUUUAUUAAAAAUGUCAUUAAUGUUUAUCCGAAAAUAUAUUUCAUUAUCGAGCGGAAAACGAUAUGAGAAAGAAAAAUAACAAUUCUUCAAAAUAUCUUAUUACAUACAUUGUAAUUAUAUGUAUACAUAUAUAUUAAAUAAAAGUAAUAAGUGGAAUAGCUGAUACAUUUGAUCUCAUACCAUGUACUUUUUAGCACAACUUGUAUUCUGUGUACAGAAAGCAUUUAAAAAAAUUAACUAAUAAUUUAUCAAAGGAUUAAAAAUAAAAAUUGCAUAAGCAAGACAAACUAGAAGUUCCAGUCUUAUGGGUCUGCUUAUUUCAAAGCCUGCUUGUUUUCAACGUCAGAACGUCCCAUUUUUGAUGGUAUUUAAGUAAAACUUGAUAAUUAAAUGCCGGAAGGUUUUCGGGAAAUUCUGACCGUGAAAUUGACCAUCUUUGAGUACAGCCACCUGUAAGAUUUGGCAAUGCAACAAAUGAUGUUAAUUUAUGUAGAACAAAAUGUCAUCUUUUUCCAGUGAUAUUUUUAUACUUUUAAAUCUUUUAGUGGAUGUGAAAGAUAUAUUGAAUUGUUUUUGUUUUGUUAACAUUAUAACCAGGUUGUACCAAAGCAAAGUACCCACUCAUCAUCACCAAAACAAUGCUUAUCAACUAAGACGCAUAAUAUUUCAAAGCCAAUCAUUUUUUGUUUGAUGUCUGUGGUUUGAAGUCCAACAAAAAUUAUACUUGUGAUAAAGAAAUACCACAAAAAAAAAAAAAAAACUUUGGUACAACUGUGCAUAAAUUGUGAUAGUGAUCAUUUUCUUGAUGUAUUCGUCUCGUAUGUUGUAAAUGGUAUAUUUACUCAAGUUGUUUUACCUGUCUUUUGUUGUUUUUUUAAGUAUAUUAAUAUUAAGAAACUAUUCAACUGAAACUAUUUUUUAGCAUUAAAAACAAAUUAAACAGUAAAAAAAGAUGACAUUCUUAUUUUGAUCAGUUCAGUAAAAUCGUGUUGACCACCUUGAUUUAUUACGAUUAUGAUUUCCGGUAAUUGAAGGCUCUAAUUGUUUCAGACAGACAUUACUUUAAAUUCAUCCUGUUUUGUUGUGCUAUUCCUUGUGUUACAUGUUACAGAGUGAAUUGUUACAACUUACAUUUAGGCUUUACUGUUAUUGCUUCUUGAAUAGUAGAUAUACAGGUAUGUUAACAAGUUUCUGUGUAGAAUUUAAACAUAGUAUGUUAACAAAUGUGGGUAUAGUAAACAAGCUCCAACUGCAAGGUGCCUAAUUGCUUCAAACGCAUACCUUGUGUCACCAACCAAAUACAUUCAAGAUGUGCCUUACUAUACUUAGAUUUUUUUUUUUUAAUUCAAAUUUGUAAAAGCAGUCUUUGCCAUGAAUAAAAUCAAGGUGAGCUGAAGAUCACUGUUCUGUGAGUACGAGUGAUUACUUGCCUUCUCUGGUGAAAACUGUAAAAGUAAAAAGUAAAACUGUGUUAAAACUCUUCUGACAAUAAAACCCCAGUGAUGAGACUACUUUAAAGUUGUUUAGAGGAAACAAUGGCAACAGCAAAAAUGGUGUUUAAAUGGUGCAUUUUAACACAUUUUGUUGUAGAAUUCUUCUGCAUAUCCAGAAUUGAAAGCCAUUUCAAAACAUACUUAUGAAGAUAUCCUUUCAUUACCAUUUAAUGUUUCAUGUAUAUUUCUGGUAAAAGACACAGUAUCCUAGGAAAAAAUAUGCAGCUCAUUCAGAUGACAUCACUACUUGUGAAGAUAUCCAUUCAUUUUAAAUUCAGAUUCUGAUACCAAUUACCAUUUAACAUUUUCAUGUAUAAUUCUGAGAAGAGAAACAGUAACCCAAGGGAAAAGGUGAGGAUCAUUCAGAUGACACCACUCGAGUCCUAUCAAAUAGUGUGUAAAAACUAAAUAGGACCACAACUGCAGCUUUAACAAAGCCUGUGUGUUUUCGAUACUAGCAGUCUGUUAUCAGCCUUGUUACGAUACUAGCAGUCUGUUAUCAGCCUUGUUACGAUACUAGCAGUCUGUUAUCAGCCUUCUUACUGAUUACAAAUCUUGUUUCACAUUCACAACAUAUAGCUGUUACUUUUAAAAUGGUAGUGGUAUUAUCUUUUGCAUUUAGCAGAACAUCAAGUUCUCAAUUUUAGAUCUAUUUCUCACAAAUUAUAAUUCCUAGAUCAAUUAAUUUUGGGUUUAACAUGUCCAAUGUCAAAUCAGCUAAUUGCUAAUUUUUAUAACCCACAGAUCUGAAAUUGGCUAAAAAAAAAAAAAAUCCAUUGUGCACCUGUGGGUGUUCAAGUUUAAAAAAAAAUUAAUUGUAAAAAAAAAAGAUUAAUGAUUAAUUUGAUCUCACAAAUUUAAUUUUUUAAUUUUUAAUGUGCAGUGAAAUGAAUAUGUAUGGGUAUGUAUAGACUAAAUGCAUUUAUUAUAAGCAAGCCAUUUAAGUUUGCAUAAUUUAUUUUCAUACUACACACUGCUAAAUAGGUUCUGCCUUUGGAGUUGAUAAACUGAAAACAACAUUUGCAUGUAACUUUGAUUACACACAACUGCAAGGGGUUUAGAAUGAUAUUUAACAGGGUGAUAUGUUGUAAAAUGUAUUAUAUUAAUAAAAAUAUAGCCAAAAUUGGUGUUUUAAAAAAAAAAUCACAUAUUUGAAUUGUACAUAUACUAAUAAAUUAUUUAUACAGGCCGAGAAUAAAUGAGACAAAACUUG